AUUGAACGCUGGCGGCAGGCCUAACACAUGCAAGUCGAGCGGUAAAAGGGAGCUUGCUGCUUGAUUCCUCAGCGGACGGGGGCGUAAGGGCUAUGAAUCUGCCUGGGAGUGGUGGAUAACGUCCGGAAACGGGCGCUAUUACUACAAACGCCUAGCGUCGGAAAGCGAGGGAGCGUCGGACCUCAGGCUCUCGGCUUAGCCUAGGUCGGAUUAGCUAGUUGGUGGGGUAAGGGCAUACCUAGGCGACGAUCCGUAACUGGUCUGAGAGGAUGAUCAGUCACACUGGAACUGAGACACGGUCCAGACUCCUACGGGAGGCAGCAGUGGGGAAUAUUGGACAAUGGGCGAAAGCCUGAUGCAGCCAUGCCGCGUGUGUGAAGAAGGCCUUCGGGUUGUAAAGCACUUUCAGUGGGGAGGAAGGGAAGAAAGUUAAUACCUUGCCGCUUUGACGUUACCAGCAGAAGAAGCACCGGCUAACUUCGUG
rnacentral:rRNA from 1 species